AUUUUAACCCCUGCUGCCCGUGCGUUAAUGUACUCAAUUAUCCCUGCCGCCUCUUUCAUUGUUUUGAACGGUCGAACAAAGUGAGGAGACGGAGCUGAACGAGAAAGGAAGACAGCGCGCGCAAAGUUGGUCUGAGAUCUGAACGAAUUGUAAAGGAUUGGUCUUAAGGGAAACAAAGUUGGUUUUCCUUCUAACUAAGGGUGGGCAACAAAUUGGAGUAUCAGAACCUGAAAUUGAACACAAAGCCCUAUCAGAACAGACACAUUGGGUUUAUAGUAUGCAGGUUCAAUGUGGGAUGAACUCAAGAAUAUUAGGCAAGCCAUAGGAUUUCUGGUCAUACAUAAAAACCC